AGGCGCCGCGUGACCGACAGCUCUCGUAGGCAGUGGGCUGCCGGCUGCCGGUCCUGGGCGGGCAAAUCGAGGAGACCCGAAAGGGCAGGAGGCCCAAUGAAGCGGGAGUUCCAGAACUACGGGGCGACUUCAGAGCCGGAUUGACGGCUCCAGAGAGUCAAGUGGACGGGAAGGAGGGGACUGACGAAAGGCCCCUUUCAACAGGCUGGGCGGGCGCCAGCUGAAGAAGCCGAAGCUCAAAAGUGCACAGAGCUGAGUUUCAAAGCCAGAGCCGUCCGACCCCUUGGCCCGUGUGUGAUCUCGAGCCAGGGUUCAGAAGCUCAAGUGCUGACGGAGGUCGGGAGGCUAACGGAAGCGACGUGGACCGAGUGGAGGCUGUGGCCGCUUACCCCUAGCGGCAGCCAGACAUAAUGCCGUGGGAAUGCAGAGCCCAGGUGGCCAGAUUUGCCAGUUUUCCAAGAGGAGCCAGACAUUGGGAUUUGUAUGAAAUGCCCCGACAUCAAAAUAUUGGCCACUCCACAAUUGCACACCAAGUGCAGUAGGCAGGAUUCUAAGGUGGUCCUCAAGAGGUUCCCACCCCCUGAUGUGUAUGCCCCCCCACCCUCCCCCCCCGACCUUGAUAAUGUGCCAGACUUGUAAAUAGGAUUGGGUAUCACUCCCCUUGACAAGUUACAUGACAUGAUGAAAAUGAAGGGAUUUUGCAGAUGUAAUGGAGGUCCUUAAGCAGUUGGCUUUAAGUGAAACGGCACAAAUUGUGCUGGGUGGGCCUGACCAAAGCAGGUGAGCCUUUUAUUUUAUU